UGCUUAGAGUCUUGAGCCCCUAGGAAAUUCUCAGUUGAUGACUGAAAGAUCCCCGAAGGGAGACCCUUACUCAAGUCUCAGGAAGUCGAAGACUCCAGACACAGAGAGACCA
rnacentral:pre_miRNA from 14 species